AUACGUAGGUGGCAAGCGUUGUCCGGAAUUAUUGGGCGUAAAGCGCAUGUAGGCGGCGUGUUAAGUCUGUCGUGAAACUGCGGGGCUCAGCCCCGUAUGGCGAUGGAAACUGAUGUGCUUGAGUGCAGGAGAGGAAAGGGGAACUCCCAGUGUAGCGGUGAAAUGCGUAGAUAUUGGGAAGAACACCGGUGGCGAAGGCGCCUUUCUGGACUGUGUCUGACGCUGAGAUGCGAAAGCCAGGGUAGCGAACGGGAUUAGAUACCCCGGUAGUCCUGGCUGUAAACGAUGGGUACUAGGUGUGGGAGGUAUCGACCCCUUCCGUGCCGGAGUUAACGCAAUAAGUACCCCGCCUGGGGAGUACGGCCGCAAGGCUUAAACUCAAAUGAAUUGACGGGG
rnacentral:rRNA from 1 species